UACGGAGGGUGCAAGCGUUAUCCGGAAUUACUGGGUUUAAAGGGUGCGUAGGCGGUUUGUUAAGUCAGUUGUGAAAUCCCCUCGCUUAACGAGUGGGACUGCGAUUGAUACUGAUGAACUUGAAUCAGGUUGAGGUAGGCGGAAUGUGACAUGUAGCGGUGAAAUGCAUAGAUAUGUCAUAGAACACCGAUUGCGAAGGCAGCUUGCUGGACCUUGAUUGACGCUGAGGCACGAAAGCGUGGGGAGCAAACAGG
rnacentral:rRNA from 1 species